rnacentral:lncRNA from 1 species
AGACAGGAAAAACACCCAAAAGGUAAAGGCCAGGCUGGUUCAUGCCGGACACCUAACCCCCUGCUACCACAUGCUGUUUUCCACACUGGGUGCUGGCCUGUGGGAACCUGCACAAGUCGGGGGCAACAUGGUCCCAGGAAGUCUUUGACAGGCUGCCCCCUGCUGGCUGCUGCGGGAACCACAUGGCAGAUGGCUCCUGGUGUCCCCUGGAAGGCUCAGAUGAUCCUCCCACCUCAGCCUCCUGAGUAGCCGCGACUACAGGCGCAUGCCACCACACCCAGGGUCCCAUCCAGAUACCACAUGACACCCGGUUGUCCUGUCUUCGGAGGCUCCUCCUGGCUGGGACAGCUUCUCAGACUUUCCUUGCUGCGAUGGCUGCUCAAGCUUUGAGGAGUACAGUCAGUGUUCUAUAGAACGUCUCUCUCGCUACUGAAAUUCGUCUAAUGUUUUUCUCAUGAUUAGACUGGGGUUGGGCAUGUUUAGAAAGAAGACCACAGAAGUAAAGUGCCUCCCUCAUCACACCGUGUCAAGGGUACACACCACCACGUGACUUCUCCCUGUCGCUGCUGACCUGGCCACCUGGCUGAGGCAGGAUUGCUCAGCUUCCUCCAUUCUCAGCUUUACACUUGUGAUCUCCUUUCCACGCUGCACUCGCUGGAAGGGAGUCACUGUAUGCAGCCAACACUGAAGGAAUGAAGUUAUUCCACACAGGAUUUAGAAUGCUCCACAGACGAUUUUUCUGCUCUUCCUAUUUAUUUUACAUCACUCUGCUUUUGUGAUACCAGCGACAGAACUCUGCAAACAUCUCUGCUUCGCAGCUGGCAUCCUGUUGGAUUUUUCCAGUAGAGGGAAGCUUCCAUGCUGCAGGAAGAAGGGGCGUGCUCCUUCCCGUUCCUGUCAGCACUGCUGCAGCAGUUUGCUCUCACAGCUGCAUGUGAUCCCAGCUGCCAUUUCUGACCUGCUCAGAACCAGCUUCAUGAUGGGCUCAAAGACCCAGGACCAGGUGCUCUUGUGACUUCUCUGACUUCAGUCCUUCUGGAGUCAGAUCACCCAGCUUCUCUGAUGAGUGACUGGUCAUUUUUAAAGCAUGCCUGCAGCAGUCUUCAAGAGGUUUCUGCCUGGGCAUCACAAUCAGCACACAUUUGCUCAUACACAUACCAGGUGAUGAGGACUCAACCACUGCAGACAGGCAGAGCCAUGCAAAUAAAGCCAUCCAGCAAGGUCACCUUUUCCUCAGAUGCCCCAGUUUCAGGAUGAUAGAAUUUGCAUAUUAAGUGUUAAUAGGCCUGGCAAUAACCAGCUUUUGCUUCCCUUCCUCAAUGAGGGACAUGCCAGAAACAGACUUGCACACAGGCUCUGCUCAUAUGGGAAACAGGCCUGACACACAGGGUCUGCUCAUAUGGGAAAAUGAUUUCAGUCACAGUCCUUAGCUCCAAAUUCUGUACUUGGAACCUAGAUUAUAAUCUAGCUCCUAAUCAAACUAGAUUCUGCUCCAGUUCAGUUUACUAAGGCAUUCCCUCUAAGCUGCCUCAGUGAAACCAGUGAGAGCCACUGGAUUACAAUUCUAAGUGCAGCUGUGCCUAAGAAGGAGAGAGUCCCACAGGAGAGGAGACCGGAGGGCAUAAGGCAGGGGAUGAUACAAAAUCCUGGACAGUCAUCACAUCAGUAACACAGCUUCAGAAAGUGGUGGGCUUGGAGGAGGGGAGAGAAAGAAACAAAAUGUCCCAAUAAUUUAAUGGCAGAGCUAGAAGAGAGCAUUUACAGCUAUUUUGGGACUCUCCAACAGAACACUUUUCCUGGAUGCACAGACAUUCAUAAUACUGGUAACUCUCAUCAACAGCUCUGGCAUGUACACGUGGCCACGGUACCCUUCGUACAACACGGGAAGAGAACAACAGGACGCCCAAGAGGCAUCUGGACAGCACACAGCAAACAGAAAGGCUGAACGCCCCCCCAUGGAACCCCAUUAAAAAACAAUGUUUGUCUAUUACAAAGUCACGUUUUCCGUUUUUCCGCUUUAUAAAGUCAGCGAUGCUGGAGGGUGUCUAGCGGAAUCCGUCCUCCAGGAAUGAGUGCAAAAGGAGAGCGCACGGCUCAGGGACGUCCCUUCAGUGAGCAAUGGAAGGACUGGCUGGAGGCCUCCCAUCCAUUUCGGACAAACACACACAUACAGAAAAGGAUUAUUGCCAGCUUGUGU